rnacentral:rRNA from 1 species
GUGCCAGCAGCCGCGGUAAUACGGAGGGUGCGAGCGUUAAUCGGAAUUACUGGGCGUAAAGGGCGCGUAGGCGGUCGCGCAAGUCGGGUGUGAAAGCCCCGGGCUCAACCUGGGAAUUGCAUUCGAUACUGCGUAACUAGAGUCUGGUAGAGGGAAGCGGAAUUCCGCAUGUAGCGGUGAAAUGCGUAGAUAUGCGGAGGAACACCAGUGGCGAAGGCGGCUUCCUGGACCAAGACUGACGCUGAGGCACGAAAGCGUGGGGAGCAAACAGGAUUAGAUACCCUGGUAGUCCACGCCCUAAACGAUGAGGACUAGACGUUGGGGGGAUAAAACCCUUUAGUGUCGCAGCUAACGCGUGAAGUCCUCCGCCUGGGGAGUACGGCCGCAAGGUUGAAACUCAAAUGAAUUGACGG